GGUUGGAUACUGAAGGUGGCGCUUGGACACUGUUGCAGACGCCUGGGUGCGUCGGUGCGCCUGUCUGACUGACUGCCUGCCUGCCUACUGUAGAGGGAUGCAUUUAAGCAGUUGACGCUGCCCUACAAAGCAGCAGGAAUCCACCAUGGCCCGGAGGAGAUGACAUCAUCGCUGAGCAACUCUGGAUAACACAGUACAGUGUGUUCUGCAGUAAUCAUAUUGCCAUGUCACUCCUCAUAAGCUGACCAUUUAAAUCCUAUAAUUAUAUAGCUGCAGCAUUGAAGCAGAGUUUACUGUAAGAGUCCGGUGUAGCUGGCUGCGUGUUGUACAUUGUGUCUUGUGUUAAUAAACUUAUGGAGUAAGAGCCCUGCAGGCGCUCACAGCCGCUGUAAUGAGAAUGUGUUUAGUCUGGAGACUGUGUAGGACUAAUGCUGAUGGAUUGUAUGGCUGCAGGUCAGGUCUUGCUCUUUCACGUACUGUUGGAAAGACUUAGGAGCGGAGGGAAGUUGCAUUUGUAAGAUUGUUGAACAUAAUAUGUGUACAUGCAACAUAAAGUUAUCAUGUUAAUACGCGUUGGAUACACGAUUACCUUUUAAUCAAUAAGGAAAAUGUUUACAGUAUUCCGUUUUAGGGUCUCUGUCCAUUAACAGCUUUUUAUGCGCUGGCAGCUCUCAGAUCACUUCUCACCAGCGCUGUUGCCUGCUUGGUUACAAAAGUUGACUUACAGCACUUCAGCUUCCAUGGGUAGUGAUCAUAAGAUCUGUUUUAAAUUGCUCUGUAUGCUUAAAGGCUGAAUAUGUGACAUUUUACACAUAAAUGUAGCAGAAAUCAAGUAAAUCCUCUGAAAAUAACUCUGUGAGUCAUGACUGUCUACAAUGAGUGUGAUGUUGUCCGAGCCGUAUCUACAGCGUGUUUACAUGGAGGGGACGGCCGGCCGGCUCAUCCCCUUGCGUACAAAAGUUGUUUAAUUGAGGGACUAGAGAAAAUUUGAAUAACAUACUGUACUCACUGCUUAUUUGAAUGCCACGUAAGCAUUUUUAGAUCACGGUCAUUUCGUGUAAAUUUACAUGCAGUCUGAAGCUAUGAGCAUAAUAAAGAGCGCUAGCAUUAGCAUGCUAACACAACAAUGCAGCUCGAGUUGUUUUGGUUUCAUGCUGGUGCUCAAGGGCGACAUCUACUGGAUCAAAAAGUUGCAUAUUCUUCUUUUAAUGUUUACUUUUAUUCACUGAAAUGUGACCAAUAAAACUUGAAAACAAUGUAAAUGAAUGGUGUACUUGCAUUAGCAGCAGAUUUAGACAUGGAAAUUGUACCCUCAAAAAGAUAAGUCAGAUUAGUUUCUCUCUGCAAUCCCGCUGCAAUUAUUGUUGACAAAGUUGAUAUCAGAAGUUCCAACCCUUCUUCAUUUAAAGUGGCCAGUGGGGGAGAAGUGACAGCAACAAAAAACAGCUGAUGCUGAGGGUGUUUUUGUGCUUAGGACGCUGAGCGCUGAAAACUCUGGACUGCAUUGGUUUGUGUCGAGAACAGGCGCUUCCAGUAAAAACAUUAGCAUUAGUGGACACAGGCACCUCUGUGGUAGAUCAAUUUGUUUUUCAGAACUCUAGAAACUCAGUGAGAUCUUAGUUAAAAAGAUGUUCUUAUCAUGUUCCUCUCACAAAGCUGGAUUCUAAGAAGUACAAGGAGGUUCCCACUGCAGCCAUGUGACUUUGCUUUCCUGCUGACCAGCCCAGACUUGCCCCCCCCCCCCCCUCCCCCCAAACCAGAUAAGAUAGUGUUGACUACUCUGUGCAGACAAGAGAGGGGCCUCUGCUGUUCUUAAAGGGGCUAGUAUACUCUGUCAGAACUGCUAUAAUGACCUGCUUUUCACCUCUUCUUUAAAUGCAGCUGUUUGGAUCAGGUACAACAGUUUUUAUAUCCAAUGUGAUAAAAAAAAAAAAAAAAAAAAACUCACACAUUUAAACUGCUUAUUUCCCAGAAUAGGUUGGCCUUUGGUCAGCCUCUGUGGCAUCCUGUGCUCUGAAGUUUUACGGGUUUAUGAUCUUUGCACCACCAGCCGAAUAGUAACAGUUCAAAGCAGCACGACAAAUUGAGAAUCCAUGCCCCCUGGACAAAUCUCAGGCAGCACCGUUUUAGGUCUCAUAAGGUUUUACAAUUAGAAGGUAAGAAACUGCGAAUUAAAGUCAGGGCUUGUUAGUUUUAUUUGGCUCUUGAUGGCUUCCUCACGUUUUUUUUAAUUGAUAUUUAAGUUUAAUGAAUUACUGUAAACUCUUUCACUGAAACAACAAGUGCACAAGGCAGCUGUAACCUAAAACAAAGUGAAUGAAUCACAUGUUGAUUAUAUUUUAGUUUAUUGUUUUUACCAUCUGAUAAGUUGUGUUUCAGAUCAGCCACAGACAUGCAUCACCAAGGACAAUUUCCUAAAAGCUGUUUUUAUCCUCUUCUUUUAUUUGACUUGUUGAACAGAAAUGAACCCAGAGUUUAAAUGAUACAAAUUAAAGCAAGGAUACAGACACUCGCUUGUAAAUCGCAGUGUUCCCUUUUCAACAAAUGAAAGAAAGAGAUUUAGUCGAAGGGCUGGACAAAAAACAGCAUUGCGCAAAAUCCGCCACAUCAAUCAGGCUUUAACCUUGAAAACAAAAAACAAGAAGAAAUGGAACCCAUGCCGAGACAAACACCUGAAGCAAAUCUGAGCAUUCACUCUUGUUUGAACAGUGACUAGAUAAGAUAGCUCAAAGUUAUCAGCACAAGAUGAAUUCCCAGAGGAAGCCGCAGGAGGGGGUUUCAUCAAUGCGCUGGGAGAGUGAGAAAAUCAAUCCUUCAAGCCACAUAGUGACAAAUAAGCAGCUAAAAACUGAAGCCAAAUUAGUUGUACCCUCCGAAGCUUUAUUCUGUGAAAAACCGAACAAGUCUAAAAAGAAAACAAGUAAAGGAUCUUUGUAAACACGAUAAGAUUCUGUAAACAUAAUCAUGAUUAUGUGGGCUAGAAAGAAAACAGACUUUUUCCAGUUGUGGGGCCAGCUCUUGGAAUCUUCGGCUCUUUCAUCAGAACUGAUUUAGGGUGCUUUUUCAUACUACUUCAUUCUCACAUAAAAAUAUGAACUGACAAGUAAUGAGACACAUUGUUGUGUCUUUAAAAGUGUAUACCAAUGAUGUAGCUAUAGUAAAGGUUAUUUCAAUAUCAACUUAUAGGCCGAAGGCAAAGAUUCUUUUAAAUAAAUGUAUGUUCUGGCUGUAUGUCUGGAGAGACCAACAAUAAAGGCCAAAACUUCAA